rnacentral:rRNA from 1 species
GACGAACGCUGGCGGCGUGCUUAACACAUGCAAGUCGAACGGAAAGGCCCUGCUUUUGUGGGGUGCUCGAGUGGCGAACGGGUGAGUAACACGUGAGUAACCUGCCCUUGACUUUGGGAUAACUUCAGGAAACUGGGGCUCAUCCCGGAUAGGAGCUCCUGCUGCAUGGUGGGGGUUGGAAAGUUUCGGCGGUUGGGGAUGGACUCGCGGCUUAUCAGCUUGUUGGUGGGGUAGUGGCUUACCAAGGCUUUGACGGGUAGCCGGCCUGAGAGGGGGGCCGGCCACAUUGGGACUGAGAUACGGCCCAGACUCCUACGGGAGGCAGCAGUGGGGAAGAUUGCACAAUGGGCGGAGGCCUGAUGCAGCAACGCCGCGUGCGGGAUGACGGCCUGCGGGUUGUAAACCGCUUUCGCCUGUGACGAGGCGUGAGUGACGGUAAUGGGUGAAGAAGCACCGGCUAACUACGUG